rnacentral:tRNA from 1 species
AUGACUUUGGCCGAGUGGUUAAGGCGUGCGCUGAUAAGGUCUCCUCGAGAGUUUGAAUCUCUCUAGCCAUG